rnacentral:tRNA from 1 species
GGGUCGUUAGCUCAGUUGGUAGAGCAGUUGACUUUUAAUCAUCGAAUCCUGCACGACCCACCA